rnacentral:rRNA from 1 species
CCUACGGGGGGCAGCAGUGGGGAAUAUUGGGCAAUGGGCGCAAGCCUGACCCAGCAACGCCGCGUGAGGGAAGAAGGCUUUCGGGUUGUAAACUUCUUUUCUCAGGGACGAAGAAAGUGACGGUACCUGAGGAAUAAGCCACGGCUAACUACGUGCCAGCAGCCGCGGUAAUACGUAGGUGGCAAGCGUUAUCCGGAUUUACUGGGUGUAAAGGGCGUGUAGGCGGGAAAGCAAGUCAGAUGUGAAAACCAUGGGCUCAACCUGUGGCCUGCAUUUGAAACUGUUUUGCUUGAGUACUGGAGAGGCAGACGGAAUUCCUCGUGUAGCGGUGAAAUGCGUAGAUAUGAGGAGGAACACCAGUGGCGAAGGCGGUCUGCUGGACAGUAACUGACGCUGAGGCGCGAAAGCGUGGGGAGCAAACAGGAUUAGAUACCCCGGUAGUC